rnacentral:rRNA from 1 species
CCUGGUGACCUUACGGUUGGGGAAACGCCUGAUCCCAUCCCGAACUCAGUAGCUAAGCCCUUCCGGCCGAUGAUAGUCGCAAGGCGAAAGUAGGUGAUUGCCAGGA